GGAAGGACCAUAGCUCAGUAGGUAGAGCAUCCACCUUACAUUCAGAAGGUCGCAGGUUCAAUUCCCGGCAUUUCCA